rnacentral:misc_RNA from 1 species
GAUGAAGAACGCAGCGAAAUGCGAUAAGUAAUGUGAAUUGCAGAAUUCAGUGAAUCAUCGAAUCUUUGAACGCACCUUGCUCCCUUUGGCUAUUCCGAAGGGCAUGCCUGUUUGAGUAUCGUGAACACCUCAACUCUCAUGGUUUGCCAUGAUGAGCUUGGACUUGGGGGUUUUGCUGGCCUUCGGUCGGCUCCUCUCAAACGGAUCAGCUUUCCAGUGUUUGGUGGCGUCACGGGUGUGAUAACUAUCUACGCCUGUGGUUUUCUGCCAGAUAACCUUCAGCGAUGGAGGUUCGCUGGGGCUCAUAAAUGUCUCUCUUCAGUGGAGACAGCUUUUUGGACGUUUGAUCUCAAAUCAGGUAGGACUACCCGCUGAACUUAAGCAUAUCAAUAAGCGGAGGA